GAGUUUGAUCCUGGCUCAGAACGAACGCUGGCGGCGUGCCUAACACAUGCAAGUCGAACGGAUUUGAGGGGCUUGCUCCUCAAGUUAGUGGCGCACGGGUGAGUAACGCGUAGAUAAUCUGCCUGAUGAUCUGGGAUAACACUUCGAAAGGGGUGCUAAUACCGGAUAAGCCCACGGGGUCUUUGGAUUCUGCGGGAAAAGGGGGGGACUUUCGGGCCUUCUGUCAUCAGAUGAGUYUGCGUACCAUUAGCUAGUUGGUAGGGUAAUGGCCUACCAAGGCUACGAUGGUUAGCUGGUUUGAGAGAAUGAUCAGCCACACUGGAACUGAGACACGGUCCAGACUCSUACGGGAGGCAGCAGUGGGGAAUUUUGCGCAAUGGGCGAAAGCCUGACGCAGCAACGCCGCGUGAGUGAUGAAGGCUUUCGGGUCGUAAAGCUCUGUCGAGGGGAAAGAAGUGUAUUGUGGCUAAUAUCCACGAUACUUGACGGUACCCCUAAAGGAAGCACCGGCUAACUCCGUGCCAGCAGCCGCGGUAAUAC
rnacentral:rRNA from 1 species